AUUGAACGCUGGCGGCAGGCCUAACACAUGCAAGUCGAGCGGAUGAAGAGAGCUUGCUCUCUGAUUCAGCGGCGGACGGGUGAGUAAUGCCUAGGAAUCUGCCUGGUAGUGGGGGACAACGUUUCGAAAGGAACGCUAAUACCGCAUACGUCCUACGGGAGAAAGCAGGGGACCUUCGGGCCUUGCGCUAUCAGAUGAGCCUAGGUCGGAUUAGCUAGUUGGUGAGGUAAUGGCUCACCAAGGCGACGAUCCGUAACUGGUCUGAGAGGAUGAUCAGUCACACUGGAACUGAGACACGGUCCAGACUCCUACGGGAGGCAGCAGUGGGGAAUAUUGGACAAUGGGCGAAAGCCUGAUCCAGCCAUGCCGCGUGUGUGAAGAAGGUCUUCGGAUUGUAAAGCACUUUAAGUUGGGAGGAAGGGCAGUAAGCUAAUACCUUGCUGUUUGACGUUACCGACAGAAUAAGCACCGGCUAACUUCGUG
rnacentral:rRNA from 1 species